rnacentral:rRNA from 1 species
GAUGAACGCUGGCGGCGUGCCUAAUACAUGCAAGUCGAGCGAACGGACGAGAAGCUUGCUUUUCUGAUGUUAGCGGCGGACGGGUGAGUAACACGUGGAUAACCUACCUAUAAGACUGGGAUAACUUCGGGAAACCGGAGCUAAUACCGGAUAAUAUUUUGAACUGCAUGGUUCAAAAGUGAAAGACGGUCUUGCUGUCACUUAUAGAUGGAUCCGCGCUGCAUUAGCUAGUUGGUAAGGUAACGGCUUACCAAGGCAACGAUGCAUAGCCGACCUGAGAGGGUGAUCGGCCACACUGGAACUGAGACACGGUCCAGACUCCUACGGGAGGCAGCAGUAGGGAAUCUUCCGCAAUGGGCGAAAGCCUGACGGAGCAACGCCGCGUGAGUGAUGAAGGUCUUCGGAUCGUAAAGCUCUGUUAUUAGGGAAGAACAUAUGUGUAAGUAACUGUGCACAUCUUGACGGUACCUAAUCAGAAAGCCACGGCUAACUACGUG